CCUAAGGAGCUUCGGUGCCUCGUAGGCAAUGCUCCCAGACCCCAAUACGCUAGGGGACUCCUCCCUGAGGAGGAUAAGGAUGGGGGAGCACCUGCGACGCAACCGCCGCGGAACCCCCAGUCUGUUUCGCGCCAUCCCUCUGGCAAAGGCCACUCCUGAUCGGUGUAGGGGAGCAGACUUCCCUUUCUUUCACAAAUUCGCUUCAGCCUCGUCCCCCCCUCAGGCCAAGCGCCAGCAGCUUAGCGACGCACUCACCAUGCUGCAAGUGCUACCGGUCUCCGAGAAGCGACCACACAACCACUCAGCUCGCUCGCCCCACUCGGACUAAUUCUCCUCCUCCGCCCCCAGCGCCUCAUAAACACCUCCCUCCGCCAGAUCCCUCCGCCGCAUGCCAGAUAACGGAACAUCGCAAACGAGUCCCGGCCAACCCCCUCCUCUCAAACUCUUUUCAAGACUCCCUUUUCCUCUGUUACUUACUUGACGAGGCAAGAGAUAAAGGGAAGCGGGCAAAUGAAUGACGUUCCGCUAAGAUUGUGUUAACUGUCAGCAGCAAGAAAAGUUGAGCACCUGCUGUAUGCUAGGUGCGGUGAUGGACACCUGAAAGAAUCAAAGACAAGAAAGACAGCUGGGACAUUCAGACCAAUCAGAGAGAAGAAGAAAGCUUCUCCUCCACCAAGUGAACACUGGAAGAACUUCAGCCGUGAGUGUGAUCUCUCUGCCCACUGGAGAGACAGCCUUCCAUAUUAGCAUUGACCUAUGAAUGAACAGCACUUGACACUGAAAAUUACCACAUUAAAUACCCGGCUCCUCAGCCUCCAGAGCUCUUCCAAAUUGUCACCUAGGAUGAAUAUGACAGCAAACAAUGCCUUAACAGAGCCAGCUCUGUGAUUCCUGGCUCUCCUCGGCCAAACUGUGUUUACAUUUCAUGGGGUCACUGACCUUUCUUUCCUUGCUGCUCCAACGACUGCUAUCUUUGCAGCUCUUCUUCCAUCUGCUGCCUUGUUUUUUGUCCCAUGGCUGCUGUGGUUGAGUACAUCCUUUGUCAGGGCUGGGACAGACGACUCAUGGCUGAGAAGCAUUCCGGAGGGCUCGGAGGCACCCCACUGUGCAGUAUGCAACCACUCAACACCAUCUGGGGCACCCACUAGCCAAGAUGCUCCGAGGUGGGGGCACCCAGAGUUCCCAGCCUUAUCAGUGAAAUAUGGGAACAUAGA